GACGGAGGGAGCGAGCGUUGUUCGGAAUUACUGGGCGUAAAGGGCGCGUAGGUGGUUAGAUAAGUCAGAAGUGAAAUCCCAGGUCUCAACCCUGGAACUGCUUCUGAAACUAUCUUUCUUGAGUUUGGUAGGGGGUGAUGGAAUUCCUAGUGGAGCGGUGAAAUGCGUAGAUAUUAGGAGGAACACCGAUGGCGAAAGCGAUCACCUGGGCCAAUACUGACACUGAGGCGCGAAGGCAUGGGGAGCAAACAGG
rnacentral:rRNA from 1 species